CAGUCGCCGCGGUAAUACGAAGGGUGCAAGCGUUACUCGGAAUUACUGGGCGUAAAGCGUGCGUAGGUGGUGGUUUAAGUACGUUGUGAAAGCCCUGGGCUCAACCUGGGAAUUGCAGUGGAUACUGGGUCACUAGAGUGUGGUAGAGGAUAGUGGAAUUUCCGGUGUAGCAGUGAAAUGCGUAGAGAUCGGAAGGAACAUCUGUGGCGAAGGCGACUAUCUGGGCCAACACUGACACUGAGGCACGAAAGCGUGGGGAGCAAACAGGAUUAGAUACCCCAGUAGUCCCUGUCUCUUAUAC
rnacentral:rRNA from 1 species